rnacentral:rRNA from 1 species
UACGAAGGGGGCUAGCGUUGCUCGGAAUUACUGGGCGUAAAGGGCGCGUAGGCGGGUCGUUUAGUUAGAGGUGAAAGCCCAGGGCUCAACCCUGGAAUUGCCUUUAAUACUGGCGGCCUUGAGUAUGGCAGAGGUGUGUGGAACUCCGAGUGUAGAGGUGAAAUUCGUAGAUAUUCGGAAGAACACCAGUGGCGAAGGCGACUUACUGGACACAUAUUGACGCUGAGGUGCGAAAGCGUGGGGAGCAAACAGG